UGUUAAGCCUGGCCAGGGGGCGGGGGAGUAGUGAGGGUCGAGGGUGUAAUCGUGAUUACUGGUCGUAAAGCGGGGGCAGGGGGUGUGUUAAGGGAGAGGGUAAAGCCCUGGGCUCAACCUAGGAAUAUCAUUUCGAACUGGCGAACUAGAGUCUUGUAGAGGUGGGUAGAAUUCCAGGUGUAGCGGUGAAAUGCGUAGAGAUCUGGAGGAAUACCGGUGGCGAAGGCGGCCCCCUGGACAAAGACUGACGCUCAUGCACGAAAGCGUGGGGAGCAAACAGGAUUAGAUACCCGAGUCGUC
rnacentral:rRNA from 1 species